rnacentral:lncRNA from 1 species
CGCGGCCUACUUUUGGCACACGGAGGCCCCUCGCAAAGUCUCGCGGCAUUCCGAAUCCUGCGGACAAAGUUGGCCAGCCCCACCCCCCAAGGCUAUAGCCCACCCGUUUUUGUGGCCUUUUUCCGCUGGACGAACUUGGCGCGCCGGCCUUCGCGCGGUUAUUUUUGGGCGCGGCUUUGCCUGCAGUAUAUUUUUGGCACACGGAGGCCCCUCGCAAAGUCUCGCGGCAUUCUGAGUCCGGCGGACGAAGUGGGCCAGCCCCACCCCCCAAGGCUAUAGCCCACCCGUUUUUGUGGCCUUUUUCCGCUGGACGAACUUGGCGCCCCGGCCUUCGGGCGGUUAUGUUUGGGCGCGGCAUUGCCCGCGGCCUACUUUUGGCACACGGAGGCCCCUCGCAAAGUCUCGCGGCAUUCCGAAUCCUACGGACAAAGUUGGCCAGCCCCACCCCCCAAGGCUAUAGCCCACCAGUUUUUGUGGCCUUUUUCCGCUGGACGAACUUGGCGCGCCGGCCUUCGCGCGGUUAUUUUUGGGCGCGGCUUUGCCUGCAGUAUAUUUUUGGCACACGGAGGCCCCUCGCAAAGUCUCGC